GUAAUGCCCCGUACUUUUGGAAAUAUUAAUAACAGUGUCACGAAGCAUAAAUAUAAGGAUUUAGUAUUAAGAACGUCAGAAUUAAGUUCAAGAAAUAAGAAUUAGACCAAAGUGGUCUAAUAAAAUUUAUCGCAAUAUAAUAAUUUAAUUAUUAUGCGAUAAAUUGGAAUUUAACGGAACUUAAUUAUCGAAAUAAGAAAAAUAUAUAAUUCAUUGGAUUCGAGUAAAUAAAUAAUGCGGAGUCCAUUAUUUAUCGAUAAAUAAAUUAUCGUCGCGCUUUCGUAAAUUUACGAAACCGUUUUAUAGAUUAGACGCGACGUUAAUUAAGAAUUUGAGUUAAGGUGUAAUUUAACCAUUUUGAAUUAAAUGGUACUUUAACCUUAUAUGACAUACAAAACUUAAUAAGAAAGUUUAAGUCUUUAAGAUAAGAAUAAGGAAUAGAAAAGAAUAGAAGUUACAGAAGCAAAAGCUUCAUCGUCGCCAUCUUAGUUUUCUCUCCCGCGCGCGAAGGACGACGGCGUCCAUAACUCCACGAUCCGACCUCCGUUUUCGAUGAUUCAAAUUGCUAUGGAUAGCUAACUCAAUAAGGAAUAAGAUACGACGAAUUAUCAAGCUACGGACUUGACGAACCAAGAUAUCUUAACGGGGAUCGAUGAUAUAUUUUAUUAUUUUGGAUUAUUAGCGAUCCAGUGUUUUAUUUCAGGUAAUCGGAGUCGGAUCAGACAGACCAUCUCCUUUGUGUCGGCAGCCUUUUGGCUUACACAAAGUACAAGUUUUAUAGAGCUGCAGUAGUCAGUAGGUGUCAGUAUAAGGUUUAUGAUUCAAUUUCAAACGGCAUUUGAAAAGUAAACUCUGAUAUAAUUUUAUAAAUGAAUUGUUUAGAAAGAUGGCGUUUAGCCGUUUGAAUUUGAUACCAAUUACCGUGAAUGGAAUUGGUGAUGUUUGUGAUCAGAAACAGGGCGGUGCUGGAUAUGAGAUAUCGCUCGGUAAGACCCUGGUUUAUAGGAAUUGUUUCGCGAAUGUUUUCAGAAAAGGAAUACGAUAUUUUUAUAAUUGAAUUAUAUUAUUUAAAGAAGAUUUCUGAUAA